GACGAACGCUGGCGGCGUGCUUAACACAUGCAAGUCGAACGGAAAGGCCCCUUUGGGGGUACUCGAGAGGCGAACGGGUGAGUAACACGUGAGUAACCUGCCCUUGACUUCGGGAUAACUUCCGGAAACUGGGGCUAAUACCGGAUAGGAAUCCUUGCUGCAUGGUGGGGGUUGGAAAGCUUCGGCGGUUUUGGAUGGACUCGCGGCUUAUCAGCUUGUUGGUGGGGUAGUGGCUUACCAAGGCUUUGACGGGUAGCCGGCCUGAGAGGGCGACCGGCCACAUUGGGACUGAGAUACGGCCCAGACUCCUACGGGAGGCAGCAGUGGGGAAUAUUGCACAAUGGGCGGAAGCCUGAUGCAGCAACGCCGCGUGCGGGAUGACGGCCUUCGGGUUGUAAACCGCUUUCAGCAGGGGCGAAGCUUGUGGUGACGGUACCUGCAGAAGAAGCACCGGCUAACUACGUG
rnacentral:rRNA from 1 species